CGCCCAUGUGAAAACACACGGAGAAGGCAGCCUGAGCUAACACAGAUGGCAAAGCACGUGGAGUGCGCCUGGGGUGGCCCUGCCAGCAGAUGUGCAUCAGCUAUCAAGGAGAUGGUUUUCUAAGUGGAAUUAGCAUCCCCUACUCCCAGGCAGGCUUCAGCAAUAGCACUGGGAGCGACACACACAGUGCUCCCUGUGUGCUGGCAUCACCAUGUUCACCCUCCCAAAGGCUCCUGAUGUGGAUGAGGGAGCCCAGCCCCCACCUCCCAGGAAGCCAGAGAAACAGAAGUGAACCCAAGUUGGUGCUGAAGCAGGUGGUUUGGACCGCUCACUGAGCCACCUCCUGGUUUGCUGAGUACUGUCACAGACAUAUCAUUUCACACUCAGUUCAGCAGCUUUCAGAACCGCUUCAACCCUUUAGUGACAGCAGCUUCUCCGGGGUUCAGGACAGACAAGGAGAAGACCCAGGUGGAUGGGGAGCUUGGAGUAAGACAGAGACACCGUGAGCAGAGGAGAGAGGACAGCUCCAGAGGUGGCACUGGGGAAAUCACUCCUGAGACAAGCAAAGCCUGACUCUAUACAUGACACCACUUACAGAGGUGGAUGUCAUACGAAUUCAAGACUGAAAAUGGAGA
rnacentral:lncRNA from 1 species